AUACGGAUGGGGUUAGCGUUGUUCGGAAUUACUGGGCGUAAAGCGCACGUAGGCGGACUGGAAAGUUGGGGGUGAAAUCCCGGGGCUCAACCCCGGAACUGCCUCCAAAACUUCCAAUCUAGAGAUCGAGAGAGGUAAGUGGAAUUCCUAGUGUAGAGGUGAAAUUCGUAGAUAUUAGGAGGAACACCAGUGGCGAAGGCGGCUUACUGGCUCGAUACUGACGCUGAGGUGCGAAAGCGUGGGGAGCAAACAGGAUUAGAAACCCUAGUAGUCC
rnacentral:rRNA from 1 species